rnacentral:rRNA from 1 species
CAGUAGCCACGGGAAUACGUAGGUGGCAAGCGUUGUCCGGAAUUAUUGGGCGUAAAGGGCGCGUAGGCGGUUCGUACAGUCUUAUGUGAAAUCUAUGGGCUCAACCCAUAGUCUGCAUAGGAAACUGUCGGGCUUGAGAGUGGGAGAGGUGAGUGGAAUUUCCGGUGUAGCGGUGAAAUGCGUAGAUAUCGGAAGGAACACCUGUGGCGAAAGCGGCUCACUGGACCAUUUCUGACGCUGAUGCACGAAAGCUAGGGGAGCGAACAGGAUUAGAUACCCGGGUAGUCCCUGUCUCUUAUAC